CCUACGGGCGGCAGCAGUGGGGAAUAUUGGACAAUGGGGGGAACCCUGAUCCAGCCAUGCCGCGUGUGUGAAGAAGGCCCUCGGGUUGUAAAGCACUUUCAGUGAGGAAGAACGCCUGGUGGUUAAUACCCAUCAGGAAAGACAUCACUCACAGAAGAAGCACCGGCUAACUCCGUGCCAGCAGCCGCGGUAAUACGGAGGGUGCGAGCGUUAAUCGGAAUUACUGGGCGUAAAGCGCGUGUAGGUGGCUUGAUAAGCCGGUUGUGAAAGCCCCGGGCUCAACCUGGGAACGGCAUCCGGAACUGUCAAGCUAGAGUGCAGGAGAGGAAGGUAGAAUUCCCGGUGUAGCGGUGAAAUGCGUAGAGAUCGGGAGGAAUACCAGUGGCGAAGGCGGCCUUCUGGACUGACACUGCCACUGAGGUGCGAAAGCGUGGGUAGAAAACAGGAUUAGAUACCCUAGUAGUC
rnacentral:rRNA from 1 species